rnacentral:rRNA from 1 species
UUAAGCAGCCAAUUUCACCCUGCAACUCGUAACUGGCAACCCACUGAAGCCAAGCAGGUGUGAGCCUGGCCAGUACCUGGAUGGGAGACCUCCUGGGAAAAACGAAGGUUGCUGCUGGAA